GGGAGAAGGAGAAGGAGAAUGAGAAAAAGAAGGAGGUAAAGAGAGAUCACCAUUACACUUCAUAUUUCUCAAACAUCAAGAGGUUAUGGGGUGGUUUAUGGUUUUUUGUAUGUAUACCUUCGAGGAUCUUUGACCAACGAUGACAUAUUCUACACAGUCAGAGGCCAUUGAUACAUAGCCAAGUGCUAGUAAUGCUAAUGUCAAGAAAGGGGUGAAAGCCGAUUUCAAGAUUGCCAAACUCGGUAAUAUCAGAUUAAUGGCUGAGAAGAUUCCCUCUGAGGUUCAAAUUGAGUUCUUGGAAGAAUAUGGGAGAUUGUAUGAUCUGUUGUUCGUUGACGUCAAGGUUGCAGCUCUUAAUGCACUUACUCAAAUCUGGAACAGUGAUUUAGGGGUGUUCGAGAUGCAUCGCUUAGACACAGUCCCGAUAAUU